UGGCACCAUAAUCACUACAGCACAAUGUAUUGUUCCUUUAAAUAAUCUUCUUUAGGAACUUGAGCCAUCAUAUUGUCUUGUAGAAGUUGGUUGAUUUAUUUUCAAGAGGGCGUCUGUAAAGAGGGAUGCUUUGAAUCACCAAACUGCUCUGUCAGUAAUCAGACUGUAUGUAUGUUAAGUGUCUGAAAUACUUGAAAGGCUUAAACAAGGAUCACCUAGUCUCAACACCCAGGCAUGCUGAUCUCUAGAAAGACUACUUUAAUCCUACAAAAAGGACUAGGUUCUGCCUCGACCAGCUCUUGAGGAAGAAACCUUCUGUUGAGUUUUCCAAG